rnacentral:rRNA from 1 species
UACGUAGGGUGCGAGCGUUGUCUGGAUUUAUUGGGCGUAAAGAGCUCGUAGGCGGUCUGUCGCGUCGGUCGUGAAAACUUGGGGCUUAACCCUGAGCUUGCGGUCGAUACGGGCAUGACUGGAGUUCGGCAGGGGAGACUGGAAUUCCUGGUGUAGCGGUGAAAUGCGCAGAUAUCAGGAGGAACACCGGUGGCGAAGGCGGGUCUCUGGGCCGAUACUGACGCUGAGGAGCGAAAGCGUGGGGAGCGAACAGG